AUUGAACGCUGGCGGCGUGCCUAACACAUGCAAGUCGGAUGUGCCCGCAAGGGCGCAUGGCAGACGGGUGAGUAACGCGUGGGGAAUCUACCUCUUUGUGGGGAAUAACGCUCCGAAAGGAGUGGUAAUACCGCAUGAGACCAAUGGCUGGAAUGUUGUUGGUGAAACCUGGGGACCGCAAGGCCUGGGGCAAGGAGAGGAUCCUGCGUCUGAUUAGCUAGUUGGCGGGGUAAUGGCCCACCAAGGCGACGAUCAGUAGCCGGCCUGAGAGGGUGAUCGGCCACACUGGAACUGAGACACGGCCCAGACUCCUACGGGAGGCAGCAGUGGGGAAUAUUGGACAAUGGGGGCGAACCCUGAUCCAGCGACGCCGCGUGUGUGAAGAAGGCCUGCGGGUUGUAAAGCACUUUUAGUUGGGGAGGAAGGUCUGCGACCUAACACGUCGUGGAAUUGACUUAACCCACCAGAAAAGACACCGGCUAACUCUGUGCCAGCAG
rnacentral:rRNA from 1 species